rnacentral:rRNA from 1 species
CACAGGUGGGCGAGAUGAGUAUUCUAAGGCGCUUGAGAGAACUCGGGAGAAGGAACUCGGCAAAUUGGUACCGUAACUUCGGGAUAAGGUACGCCCUUGUAGCUUGAUGCGCCUGCGCGCAGAGGGUGAAGGGGUUGCAAUAAACUGGUGGCUGCGACUGUUUAAUAAAAACACAGCACUCUGCAAACACGAAAGUGGACGUAUAGGGUGUGACGCCUGCCCGGUGCCGGAAGAUUAAAUGAUGGGGUGCAAGCUCUUGAUUGAAGUCCCGGUAAACGGCGGCCGUAACUAUAACGGUCCUAAGGUAGCGAAAUUCCUUGUCGGGUAAGUUCCGACCUGCACGAAUGGCGUAACGAUGGCCACACUGUCUCCUCCCGAGACUCAGCGAAGUUGAAGUGUUUGUGAUGAUGCAAUCUACCCGCGGCUAGACGGAAAGACCCCAUGAACCUUUACUGUAGCUUUGCAUUGGACUUUGAACCGAUCUGUGUAGGAUAGGUGGGAGGCUAUGAAACCGGAACGCUAGUUUCGGUGGAGCCGUCCUUGAAAUACCACCCUGGUUUGUUUGAGGUUCUAACCUUGGCCCGUGAUCCGGGUCGGGGACAGUGCAUGGUAGGCAGUUUGACUGGGGCGGUCUCCUCCCAAAGCGUAACGGAGGAGUACGAAGGUACGCUAGGUACGGUCGGAAAUCGUGCUGAUAGUGCAAUGGCAUAAGCGUGCUUAACUGCGAGACCGACAAGUCGAGCAGGUGCGAAAGCAGGUCAUAGUGAUCCGGUGGUUCUGUAUGGAAGGGCCAUCGCUCAACGGAUAAAAGGUACUCUGGGGAUAACAGGCUGAUACCGCCCAAGAGUUCAUAUCGACGGCGGUGUUUGGCACCUCGAUGUCGGCUCAUCUCAUCCUGGGGCUGUAGCCGGUCCCAAGGGUAUGGCUGUUCGCCAUUUAAAGAGGUACGUGAGCUGGGUUUAAAACGUCGUGAGACAGUUUGGUCCCUAUCUGCCGUGGGCGUUGGAUAUUUGAAGGGGGCUGCUCCUAGUACGAGAGGACCGGAGUGGACGAACCUCUGGUGUACCGGUUGUCACGCCAGUGGCAUCGCCGGGUAGCUAUGUUCGGAAGAGAUAACCGCUGAAAGCAUCUAAGCGGGAAACUCGCCUUAA